rnacentral:tRNA from 1 species
UUGGUAGUAUAGUGGUCAGUAUCCGCGUCUGUCACACGCGAGACCCGGGUUCAAUUCCCGGCCGA